GAUGAACGCUGGCGGCGUGCUUAACACAUGCAAGUCGAACGGUGAAGCAGAGCUUGCUCUGUGGGUCAGUGGCGAACGGGUGAGUAACACGUGAGCAACCUGCCCCUUACUCUGGGAUAAGCGCUGGAAACGGCGUCUAAUACUGGAUAUGAGCUGCGACCGCAUGGUCAGCAGUUGGAAAGAUUUUUCGGGCUGGGAUGGGCUCACGGCUUAUCAGCUUGUUGGUGAGGUAAUGGCUCACCAAGGCGUCGACGGGUAGCCGGCCUGAGAGGGUGACCGGCCACAAUGGGACUGAGACAGGGCCCAGACUCCUACGGGAGGCAGCGGUGGGAAAUAUUGCACAAUGGGCGAAAGCCUGAUGCAGCAACGCCGCGUGAGGGAUGACGGCCUUCGGGUUGUAAACCUCUUUUAGCAGGGAAGAAGCGAAAGCGACGGUACCUGCAGAAAAAGCGCCGGCUAACUACGUG
rnacentral:rRNA from 1 species